ACUAGCAGAAAAGUCACCAUUUCAGACUUACCCUCCCGAGGUCAUCUUUUUGCUGACACACACAGCCCCAGCCAGGACUGCUCCCAACUAAGUCACAGCGAUGCUGACUCCUCCGGGUUCCUGAAACUGCCACGGGACUGAGCCCAUCUGCAUUGCCCAAAUCUCAAAUCCCAGAGCUGCGUUAUGGGCAUUUUGCAGAUUGAGAAAGAAGGGCAAAGAGAAGUGCAUGGAUCUGCCUGCACAUUGAUGUGGUGACACCACAGCCCUGCCAGCACUGCAGACACAGCAAGGCCAGCAGGUCUCACAUUCAAGCACACAGCAAAACCAUCAGCUUGACCCCUGUGCUUUCCCUGUGUACUAACACUUCAGCAUUAAGACCUCUUAGCUCCAAAAUGGCAGAGAUUGUUGUCAAAGAAAAAGGUCUACAAUACCCAUGCUCAGGCAAAAAGGAAUGGGAGAACAGGAGAUUGCGAGCCGAGGAUUUAUGGCUUCUUUCCACUGAAUGAUGUGCUGAAGCCAAGGUUUUAUGUGAUGUUUCUCCGGCAGCAAAUGAAUACACAACCAGGCAUGUGAAGGAAUGAGGCUGAGGCUGCAUGUCCAGUGGCUCCUCUCAUCAGCACUGAGCUGAUGCAUGGCUGUGCUUUGCCUUGCGUCAAACCCUAACACAAUGCUCCUCUGUGUCCUCUUCCUCUUGAGGCUCCCCAGCAGCUUUCAGCAGCAUUCGCCCUUCCCAGGAUUAGCCCGAAUUAGGUCAGAGUUUAUCUGGGAGGGACUGCCUGUUCUGCUCUCUGUUUGCAGAAGAAGAUCCCUAUCUGCAGUCGGGGGCUCCUCACCGCUGUGAUAACACAAGCUGUCGUUAGAAGUGCCAGAUACACUGCAUAAAUAGAGAAAACCUCCCCGCAGUUAAGGACACCUGAAUGACAAGAUGCUAAUGUUGGAAUUUGGGAUAAUGAGAACACACUGGGACUGCCCCUUGCGCCUACAAACCCUCAGAAGCAUGGCAUCAAGAUCUACUGGUACACGAACUUCCUUGGUCCCUCCUUGAGGCCUGGCCAAGUUUGAGGUGGAAUCCAAAGAGGGAGAAUGAAACCAGAUGUUUCCACCUAACUGUCAUGUAAGCUUAUUUAUUCAACAAUAUAAAAGCUGGAGCCUCUUGUAGAGAAGUUGGAGACCUCACCUACAAGUGGACACACUGCGUAGGACCUCCCAGUUGCCAGGAAAGGGUCUCCAAAUCCUUGCUGCAACCGGGGCUCCCCAGCAACUGCGGAUCUGGAUGAUGGACAAAUCCCAAAUCUGACCCUGACUGAGAAGAGCUGCAGCCUGCCAGGAUCAGUGCACCUUCCCAGCUCUCCUUACUGGCACAUUUUUGGAAGGCAGCAGAGCAGGGAGCAGCACCGACCUGCUCAGCCUUUGGGAAGCAAGAGGAGCCAAAGGCCGACCCAAGGGGUACUGCUGUGCUGAAAGGAAGCCCAUCAAAUCGCUAUCCCACACGUAAGCCUCAGUGCUGUGGGGUUGUAAUAAUGGCUUUCUUGAACUAUGGCAUCUCUCAACUAGUGGAAUACACCGAAUUCAUGCAUCUCUCACAGGGGUCCACUAUUCCACUUCAGCUAGAAAGAAAGUCACCCGCAGCAGUUAUAAAAGACUCAAGAGGGAAUUAGGCUCUGAAUUCCCAUUGAAUUAGCAUUGUUUACUCAGUAGUCAGAAGUAUAAUGGUUGUUAAUGACUCCUUAACGAGUCAAGUUAUAACGCAACAUGUGGCGAAGCACAAUAAACAAAAAGG
ensembl:lncRNA